GAUGAACGCUGGCGGCGUGCCUAAUACAUGCAAGUCGAGCGAACAGACGAGGAGCUUGCUCCUUCGACGUUAGCGGCGGACGGGUGAGUAACACGUAGGUAACCUACCUAUAAGACUGGGAUAACUUCGGGAAACCGGAGCUAAUACCGGAUAAUAUUUCGAACCGCAUGGUUCGAUAGUGAAAGAUGGCUUUGCUAUCACUUAUAGAUGGACCUGCGCCGUAUUAGCUAGUUGGUAAGGUAACGGCUUACCAAGGCAACGAUACGUAGCCGACCUGAGAGGGUGAUCGGCCACACUGGAACUGAGACGCGGUCCAGACUCCUACGGGAGGCAGCAGUAGGGAAUCUUCCGCAAUGGGCGAAAGCCUGACGGAGCAACGCCGCGUGAGUGAUGAAGGUCUUCGGAUCGUAAAACUCUGUUAUUAGGGAAGAACAAACGUGUAAGUAACUGUGCACGUCUUGACGGUACCUAAUCAGAAAGCCACGGCUAACUACGUG
rnacentral:rRNA from 1 species